UAAAGAAGAAAUGAAUAUGAAUUAUAGUAUGGAUUUGAUUAAUUGUGGAACAAUGUAUGUAUUUCUUGUUUGUAAUAUGUUUGUAUUGAUCAUUCAUCACCUAUUUAUAGGCCUCAAUCAAUACAUCACGAAAUGGUGCCAAAACAAGAUGAAAAGUGGCAACUUUUAAUCCAAAACGGCUCCCAAGUUUCAAAUUGAAAAAU
rnacentral:lncRNA from 1 species